UAAGUGUGUGUGUGUGUGUG
rnacentral:miRNA from 1 species